rnacentral:rRNA from 1 species
AGAGACAGCAGUAGCCGCGGGAAAACGUAGGUGGCAAGCGUUGUCCGGAAUUAUUGGGCGUAAAGGGCUCGCAGGCGGUUUCUUAAGUCUGAUGUGAAAGCCCCCGGCUCAACCGGGGAGGGUCAUUGGAAACUGGGAAACUUGAGUGCAGAAGAGGAGAGUGGAAUUCCACGUGUAGCGGUGAAAUGCGUAGAGAUGUGGAGGAACACCAGUGGCGAAGGCGACUCUCUGGUCUGUAACUGACGCUGAGGAGCGAAGCGUGGGGAGCGAACAGGAUUAGAGACCCCCGUAGUCCCUGUCUCUUAUACC